rnacentral:tRNA from 1 species
GGGGGUAUUGCCUAGCACGGUCUAAGGCGACUGCUUCUGAAGCAGCUUUUCGGUGGUUCAAAUCCAUCUACCCUCG